UACGCCCGUAGUUUAUGAGGAUGAGUACCUCCGCAGGAGGUUCGAGCCUCGCGAAGCGAGACAACGUUGCUUCAGCAACGGCCCGCAGGGCGCGAAUCAAAGAUGCGCGUAAUCCUCUCUCGCCGACCA
rnacentral:sRNA from 1 species